UCACCAACAAUGGCUAAAUAGGCAUGUCGUUGUCGUUACAUUGUCAUGCGGUAGUCAAGGAAAGAUAUUGAACUUGGAAUUAAAAGCUAAAAAAUAAGCAUUAAUAUAAAAAAAAUUGAGCUUAAGACACACAAGAUAGACAACAUUGACCGAAAUUCGUAGCGAUGAAAACAAACACCGAAACUGCUGAAAUACACACUUCACCAUUAUUCAAAGGCAUGAUAUGUGUGCAGUUCCGUGAAAUAUUCUGACAGCUUUAUGGGUACAGAGUAGCAAAACCAGCCCACACCUGAGUUUCGAAUAAAUAAAAUGAGGCAUAGAAUUUUUACAAUUGAUUGUUUGUUGGAAUACUGGAAAUGGACUCUCUCAAAAUGGUGCCUCUUGAUUUAAAAUCAUAAAUGGCAUCGUUGAU